UUAGGCAGCUAUGCCACCUUUGGCUGCAAUUUUAAAAGAUCUCAUAAACUAAUCUGGGUCAGGCCUGGUCAGUACUUGGAUGGGAGACCUCCAAGAUACUUCUAGACACUGCUGGGA
ensembl:rRNA 5S_rRNA 5S ribosomal RNA